rnacentral:rRNA from 1 species
UACGUAGGGUGCGAGCGUUUAAUCGGAAUUACUGGGCGUAAAGCGUGCGCAGGCGGUUCUCCAAGUCCGUUGUGAAAGCCCCGGGCUCAACCUGGGAAUGGCAGUGGAAACUAGGGGACUUGAAUCUGGGCAGAGGGGGGUGGAAUUCCACGGUGUAGCAGUGAAAUGCGCAGAUAUCAGGAGGAACACCAAUGGCGAAGGCAGCUCGCUGGGACGGUACUGACGCUGAGACGCGAAAGCGUGGGGAGCAAACAGG